rnacentral:tRNA from 1 species
UGCGGAAUGGUGUAACGGUAGCACAUGUGACUCUGACUCAUAGAGCCUAGGUUCGAAUCCUAGUUCCGCAGCCA